rnacentral:rRNA from 1 species
UAAGGAAUAUUGCUCAAUGGGAGAAAUCCUGAAGCAGCAACGCCGCGUGGAGGAUGAAGGGUCUAUGACUUGUAAACUCCUGUAAAGAAGGAAAAAUUCCCAUUUGAUGGGAGAUGAUGGUACUUCUGGAGUAAGCCCCGGCUAACUACGUGCCAGCAGCCGCGGUAAUACGUAGGGGGCAAGCGGUGUCCGGCUUUACUGGGUGUAAAGGGUGCUCAGGCGGAUUUGUAAGUCAGAGGUGAAAUCUUACAGCUUAACUGUGAAACUGCCUUUGAUACUGCAAGCCUAGAGUAUGGAAGAGAGUGAUAGAAUAUCUGGUGUAGCAGUGAAAUGCGUAGAUAUCAGAUAGAACACCAAUGGCGAAGGCAGUCACUUGGUCCAUUACUGACGCUAAAGCACGAAAGCGUGGG